rnacentral:tRNA from 1 species
UGGCUCAGUUGGUAGAGCAUGGUGUUUGCAUGGUGUGUGCAACGCCAGGGUUGUGGGUUCAAUUCCCAC